GAUGAAGAACGCAGCGAAAUGCGAUAAGUAAUGUGAAUUGCAGAAUUCAGUGAAUCAUCGAAUCUUUGAACGCACAUUGCGCCCGCCAGUAUUCUGGCGGGCAUGCCUGUUCGAGCGUCAUUACAACCCUCAGGCCCCCGGGCCUGGCGUUGGGGAUCGGCGGAGCCCCCCGUGGGCACACGCCGUCCCCCAAAUGCAGUGGCGGUCCCGCCGCAGCUUCCAUCGCGUAGUAGCUAACACCUCGCGACUGGAGAGCGGCGCGGCCACGCCGUAAAACACCCAACUCUUCUGAAGUUGACCUCGAAUCAGGUAGUAAUACCCGCUGAACUUAAGCAUAUCAAUAAGCGGAGGA
rnacentral:misc_RNA from 1 species